rnacentral:misc_RNA from 1 species
GAUGAAGAACGUAGCGAAAUGCGAUACUUGGUGUGAAUUGCAGAAUCCCGGGAACCAUCGAGUCUUUGAACGCAAGUUGCGCCCGAAGCCAUUAGGCCGAGGGCACGCCUGCCUGGGCGUCACACGUCGUUGCCCCCCCCCAUCUACUCCUUCGGGAUUGCGGGGGGCGGAUGAUGGCCUCCCGUGCGCCUCGCCGCGCGGUUGGCAUAAAUGCCAAGUCCUCGGCGAUGCACGCCACGACAAUCGGUGGUUGCGAAACCUCGGUUGCCCGUCGUGUGCGGUCGUCGCGCAUCGAGGGCUCGAAAAAAUUGCCGGGUUCCGGCUCGGCUUUCAACGCGACCCCAGGUCAGGCGGGGUUACCCGCUGAAUUUAAGCAUAUCAAUAAGCGGAGGA